rnacentral:rRNA from 1 species
AGUGAACGCUGGCGGUAGGCCUAACACAUGCAAGUCGAACGGCAGCACAGUAAGAGCUUGCUCUUACGGGUGGCGAGUGGCGGACGGGUGAGGAAUACAUCGGAAUCUACUUUUUCGUGGGGGAUAACGUAGGGAAACUUACGCUAAUACCGCAUACGACCUACGGGUGAAAGCAGGGGAUCUUCGGACCUUGCGCGAUUGAAUGAGCCGAUGUCGGAUUAGCUAGUUGGCGGGGUAAAGGCCCACCAAGGCGACGAUCCGUAGCUGGUCUGAGAGGAUGAUCAGCCACACUGGAACUGAGACCCGGUCCAGGCUCCUACGGGAGGCAGCAGUGGGGAAUAUUGGACAAUGGGCGCAAGCCUGAUCCAGCCAUACCGCGUGGGUGAAGAAGGCCUUCGGGUUGUAAAGCCCUUUUGUUGGGAAAGAAAAGCAGCAGGUUAAUACCCCGCUGUUCUGACGGUACCCAAAGAAUAAGCACCGGCUAACUUCGU